rnacentral:lncRNA from 1 species
GGCUCAGGCUCACGAGUUCGAACACUCAGUCCUCAGCUCCCGGCAAAGUUUGGGAAGGUUAUGGAACCUGUGGAAGGGAAGAUAAAGCUACAGCAAGUGAGUCGCUGGGCUCCGAGCCGGCAGCUCUGGAAUCUAUGGAGGUGCUGCUAUCAUGGAGAUGGAUGUCUUCGAUCACGCUGGCCUACCUGCUCCUGGGGCUGGGGAGUGCCCACCCUGUGACCACGGAUGGCAAAGAGUGCACUGGAGACCAUCCUGCAGCAGUCAAGGUGGACCCUGACUACAUCUGUCUCUGUCCUGAGGAUUGUGGCUUCUAGGUUGACUCGCACUGGUAGUAAAAAUGUCCUAAACAGUGCCCCAGGGCCCAGAAUCAAGCCCACGGAUAUUGAUGCUGAAAUGGAUGGAGGUAUUCAUCCGGGAAGACCAGGGAAGCAGGAAGCUGCAAAACCACUAAGACCUGCUCAGAGCCACGUUGCACAGGACACCUCCGGAAUGUGGCUCUUCCUAACGGAGCCUUCAGCUCAGCUUUCCAGUACCCCGGGUGGAUGGUUAAU